UACAGAGGGGGCAAGCGUUGUUCGGAAUUACUGGGCGUAAAGGGCGCGUAGGCGGCCGCCUAAGUCAGACGUGAAAUCCCUCGGCUCAACCGGGGAACUGCGUCUGAUACUGGGUGGCUUGAAUCCGGGAGAGGGAUGCGGAAUUCCAGGUGUAGCGGUGAAAUGCGUAGAUAUCUGGAGGAACACCGGUGGCGAAGGCGGCAUCCUGGACCGGUAUUGACGCUGAGGCGCGAAAGCCAGGG
rnacentral:rRNA from 1 species